CCACAGACCACCUACUGCCAGACCUCAACGCCUCACAAAACUCUCACCCACCUACUGCUUUUAGCUCACAUUCCAGGAAUUCAGAUGAAGUGAAGUGCUCUCAUGGGGACCAGGCAUGGUUAUUCCAGUCCACUGCCCUGCAAGCCUCAAGGGAAGCCAACUGCCCUUCAGCAAGUCACACCUGCCUUGGUGGAGGCCUUGAUUGGAAGUGCCACACGCUACAUGUCCAGUCCUGAGCGGGAGAAUCGGUGUAGGGACGUUGUGGGGAUGCCGGCUGUGGCCAGAUCAGGUCCAGCUACAGAAGAAUGAAGACUCCACCUGAGGGCUGGAAAAACAAAACCUCAAGUGUGAGGCAGCCAACCUGUUACCUCGAGGGACUGUCCCGCAGCACAGCGGGGCCAUGGGAACAGCAGCAGACACCCCGGCCUCCUCGCUACCUAUCAACUAUGGCCUGAGUAUGAUAGACUUAUCCAUGGUUUAAACAGAAUAUAUUGUUUUCAACUUUGAAAAUAAGAAUAUGGAAAUCCAGAUGCAGAAAUGUGAGAAGAAAAGAGAGUAAACAGAGUGGAAGGUCAGGUGACCUUGCCUGUCAUGAAUAUGAAGGUCAAGGUGUGUGAAUUGUGAAAUUUCCAAGAGAACCUCACUGAAGCAAAGAAUGGAGAAAGAAUCGCAUUUGGCCCUGGGAGCGUGCAGGGGUGAAUGGUGCAGGAGCUAAAUCUUUAUCAUACCCAGAAAUCAACAGCCACUAUUUGAAAUCAUCUAAAUUCGUGCUGCUAACCUUCAGUGUACACACAAAUCACCUGGGGAUCUUAUUAAAA
rnacentral:lncRNA from 1 species